UACGUAGGGAGCAAGCGUUGUCCGGAAUCAUUGGGCGUAAAGCGCGCGUAGGCGGCCCUGUAAGUCCGCUGUGAAAGUCAAAGGCUCAACCUUUGAAAGCCGGUGGAUACUGCAGGGCUAGAGUCCGGAAGAGGCGAAGUGGAAUUCCUGGUGUAGCGGUGGAAUGCGCAGAUAUCAGGAGGAACACCAAUAGCGAAGGCAGCUCGCUGGGACGGUACUGACGCUAAGGCGCGAAAGCGUGGGGAGCGAACGAGGA
rnacentral:rRNA from 1 species